rnacentral:rRNA from 1 species
AUUGAACGCUGGCGGCAUGCCUUACACAUGCAAGUCGAACGGCAGCACGGGUGCUUGCACCUGGUGGCGAGUGGCGAACGGGUGAGUAAUAUAUCGGAACGUACCUUAUUGUGGGGGAUAACGCAGCGAAAGCUGUGCUAAUACCGCAUAAUCCCUAAGGGGGAAAGCGGGGGACCGUAAGGCCUCGCGCAAUUAGAGCGGCCGAUACCUGAUUAGCUAGUUGGUGAGGGAAAGGCUCACCAGGGCAACGAUAAGUAGCUGGUCUGAGAGGACGAUCAGCCACACUGGGGCUGAGACACGGCCCGGACUCCUACGGGAGGCAGCAGUGGGGAAUUUUGGACAAUGGGGGCAACCCUGAUCCAGCAAUGCCGCGUGAGUGAAGAAGGCCUUCGGGUUGUAAAGCUCUUUUGUCAGGGAAGAAACAGCAGCUCUAACACAGUUUGCGAAUGACGGUACCUGAAGAAUAAGCACCGGCUAACUACGUGCCAGCAGCCGCAGUAA